rnacentral:rRNA from 1 species
UACGAACCGUGCGAACGUUGUUCGGAAUCACUGGGCUUAAAGGGCGCGUAGGCGGGUCGGCAAGUCCGGGGUGAAAGCCCCCAGCUCAACUGGGGAAGGGCCUUGGAAACUGCCGGUCUCGAGGGAGGUAGGGGCCUGUGGAACUUCGGGUGGAGCGGUGAAAUGCGUUGAUAUCCGAAGGAACGCCGGUGGCGAAAGCGACGGGCUGGAUCUCUUCUGACGCUGAGGCGCGAAAGCUAGGGUAGCGAACGGG